rnacentral:rRNA from 1 species
CCCAGACUCCUACGGGAGGCAGCAGUGGGGAAUAUUGCACAAUGGGGGAAACCCUGAUGCAGCGACGCCGCGUGAGUGAGGAAGUAUUUCGGUAUGUAAAGCUCUAUCAGCAGGGAAGAAAAUGACGGUACCUGACUAAGAAGCCCCGGCUAACUACGUGCCAGCAGCCGCGGUAAUACGUAGGGGGCAAGCGUUAUCCGGAUUUACUGGGUGUAAAGGGAGCGUAGACGGCUAAUCAAGUCAGAAGUGAAAACCCAGGGCUCAACCUUGGGACUGCUUUUGAAACUGAGUAGCUAGAGUGCAGGAGAGGUAAGCGGAAUUCCUAGUGUAGCGGUGAAAUGCGUAGAUAUCUGGAGGAACAUCAGUGGCGAAGGCGACUAUCUGGCACAUAACUGACGCUGAGGAGCGAAAGCGUGGGUAGCAAACAGGAUUAGAUACCCUUGUA